AAGUAUAGAUACUUUGUGGACCCUGGAUAGAAGCACAACAAACUCUACUUGCUCACUACUCCAAGCAAAUCGCUGAGAGACACACACACACACACGUGGUGACGCGGCACAUGAGGCUGCGGACUCCCGGUCACCCGCUACCCCAUGCAAUGCAAAUGCAUUCCUCCGACGAUCCACAUCCAGGACGAAACAUGCAGCAUCAUCUACCGACAACAAUCAUUAUUACCUUUUUUUCCGAAGGGGCUGGAUCCCAUAUAUUAAAAGAGCCGGGCUCUUACAGCAAACACCCUGGAGGAAAGAAGAUUUACAAACAAGUCCACAUCAUCCAUCCUCCAGAAACGAAACUUUGCGUACAAGACCCUGACAGAAAUCAGAUUUGAAAUUGAGGUCCUUAGAUCUUGACGCAGAACUCCUGCACAUCGCACCGCUUCUGGUUCCGCCGGAGUCGGAGAAGAGGUACGACAGCAAAGAGAAGAACUCCACCGAGACCGUCGAUGAGACCUCCAGCUUGAAGCCGCAAGACAUUCCCCCUCCGGCGCACAUCGGCUGUCAUCGUGUUGAUCUUGAUCUUGGACCGGCGGCACCGAUGAAAUCGGCGACCCAGAAAAGAUCCGAACUGCUAGCACCAGCAGCCCGGAAAGGAGCCCCAAGAAAGGGAAAACCAGUCCCCCUUAUCCAAGACAAAGGAGAACACAACUAACCUCACAGGAUGAACCACGAAGAACACCUCGUCGGAAUCGCCAUGGAGGACCAAAAUAUUCACUCGGCCACCGGGGAUCCUACCGCCGGAGACGAAGCUAAGGAAACCGAAGCACCACGCAGCUGCCUCGCCGAAGCCGAUGCCGGAUCCACCGCCAUCACCAUCGAAGAAUAGAUGGAUGCACUUUAUUUGCCGGAACAGUGGCAGCACCACCACCGGAACCCUAAGCUCCCUCGCCAACGACGGCGAUGAGCAACCCUAGCCUACUAGACUAUACACCCUAGCAGCUAAAACUACUCCAGCCGUCGAUCCGCCAUUUCCCCCAUCCGCUCCGGCGUCGGAAAGGCCGUCGGAGGGAGGGGAACGGCCAGAUCGACGCCGGAAAUGGCACCGCCCUUUUCGCCUGCUCUUUACUGUAGAAGGGGAAAAGAGAACAAUCAUUAUUACUUAUGUCUUAUAAAUCCAAUUUUGGAUCAUAUACGUGCGUACAAGAUACAAAAUUUUGGAUCAAAACGAUUCUACGUCAAGCUCUUUUCCCUUCAAAAACCUUCACUAAAUUCUUCAGACCAAUGAUGUCGAAAAGCAGGUCGUACCGGACAGAAAAUCACUAAAAAAACGAUUUGCACAGAGACCUCCCAUUUUUUUGACAGGUGAG
rnacentral:lncRNA from 1 species